rnacentral:rRNA from 1 species
GAUGAACGCUGGCGGCGUGCCUAAUACAUGCAAGUCGAGCGAACAGACGAGGAGCUUGUUCCUCUGACGUUAGCGGCGGACGGGUGAGUAACACGUGGAUAACCUACCUAUAAGACUGGGAUAACUUCGGGAAACCGGAGCUAAUACCGGAUAAUAUAUUGAACCGCAUGGUUCAAUAGUGAAAGACGGUUUUGCUGUCACUUAUAGAUGGAUCCGCGCCGCAUUAGCUAGUUGGUAAGGUAACGGCUUACCAAGGCAACGAUGCGUAGCCGACCUGAGAGGAUGAUCGGCCACACUGGAACUGAGACACGGUCCAGACUCCUACGGGAGGCAGCAGUAGGGAAUCUUCCGCAAUGGGCGAAAGCCUGACGCAGCAACGCCGCGUGGGUGAUGAAGGUCUUCGGAUCGUAAAACUCUGUUAUUAGGGAAGAACAAAUGUGUAAUUAACUAUGCACGUCUUGACGGUACCUAAUCAGAAAGCCACGGCUAACUACGUG